GUGACACAUAUAACAUACAUCACGUAAGUCUUUAAGAAAACUAUUAUUUGACUGAUUUUCUCAUGCUGGCUUGACAUGUGCCUCUUAUCACAAGUAGCUGGAGUGCAAGAAAGGCAGAUACCUGAGUCAAAAAAGAUCAUCACCACAAACAAUAUCCUAGAGGACCUUACACCAGGAAGGCAUGAAUGUGUAUACCAUGAAAUAACAAAUUUUCACUUCCUGGAAGAUUUGAAGGAAGAAUAAAGCCAACCACAACAAUAAUUCAGUUUUCUAAUUGAAUCAGAACUGAGAACAACAGUGGACAUUGAGAUAAAAUUGAUUUCAUGUUGACUACUUUUGGAGAAGAAAGAGCUACCUGAGGCAAGCUCGACUUAAACUGUGUGUACGGUUCUAUGGCGAUCAUGGAGAAGAUCAUCAGGGUGGUGAUCCACAGGGAGAUUCAAGAUCACAUAGGCGGAGCAGGA
rnacentral:lncRNA from 1 species